CGGAAGCAGCAGCUCACUUGCCGGGGACGAAGUUGGUGGCGUAGGCCCAAGCGUUGUUGUUGACGGGGUCGGCGAGGUGGUCGGCCAGGUUCUCCAGCGGGCCCUUGCCGGUCACGAUGGCCUGAACGAAGAAUCCGAACAUGGAGAACAUGGCCAGGCGGCCGUUCUUGAUCUCCUUCACCUUCAGCUCCGCGAAGGCUUCGGGGUCGUCGGCCAGGCCGAGGGGGUCGAAGCUGCCGCCCGGGUAGAGCGGGUCGGUCACCUCGCCGAGCGGCCCGCCGGCGAUGCGGUAGCCCUCCACGGCGCCCAUCAGGAUCACCUGGCACGCCCAGAUGGCCAGAAUGCUCUGAGCGUGGAUCAAGCUGGGAUUGCCCAGGUAGUCCAGUCCGCCCUCGCUAAAGAUCUGAGCGCCGGCCUUGAACCACACCGCCUCCCCGAACUUGACCCCGUUGCGGGCCAGCAACUCCGGGAAGACGCAGCCCAGGGCGCCGAG
rnacentral:lncRNA from 1 species